rnacentral:lncRNA from 1 species
UAUUAUUUUCUGGCGGAGAUUUAAAUUUAAAAUAAAAUUAAUAUUAUGUUAUUACUAAUGGGUGGUGCAGUGUGUGUAUAGUCAGGCACAUUUAUUGCUGAGGCGUUUCUUAACUUUUUUUUUAUUCAUAAAAUAUAAAGUUGAAUCUUAUCUUGGAGGUCAAAGGCCAAAUAAACUGAGAGUUAUUUGGUACUUAUUUCUUUUGCGUUUUCCCUUUUUCUCGACUUAAAUCGAGAUUAUUUUUUACCUUUAGUGACGUUUACGAAGUAGUCGGUUACUUGCUUACCAGUAUCGGUGAUUGUGUUGUGUGUUUGUUUCGAUGAAGGCAGGCGUUUUUCCUUUUAUGUGUUGUGAGUGGGAGUUCUUACGUUGUGUCCAGAUGGUACGGUUACGUCUGUACACAAACGUAUUACCUUUUGAUGUUUGGUGGUGAGUGAACGAUUUAAAAGUUCUCUUCACGUAGUUUUCUGGGUGCUGGCGUUUUAAACCAGCAUUCCAGCUUCACUGGCUGGUCGGAUUCUUGCGGAUUUAAACGGAGAAUUCUUAAUAGCAGUGUUGUACCCUUGUUGACGCUUUGCGGUAUGGCUUUAAUCAUAUGCGUGAACGUUGACGUUCUUUUGUGUUGUCGGACCGACAGACUUGCGUCGCCUGAGACGUGGUCUGUGCAGUCAACCUUUGUAUGUAUUAUGUUGUGUCGAAACGUUCCGUCCUGUGUCGUAGAUAGACGCAGCCGGUAGAUACGCUUCGUUGUCCUGGUGUUAUUGUCUGAUUUUCGUAUUCUUAUCUGUCACCGAUAUAAGUUAGGGAAAUUUCAUUUAGCUAUAAGCCGUCCUCCGUUAUAUCGCUUGGACGUACAGCCCGCUGUCUGGUACAGCUCGCUGUGCCGCCAAGAAAUAUAGACGAUGCGACGUUUUGUAGUAAUUUACUUAAAAAAAAAAAAAGGUAUUCUUAUCUGGUUUAGUGCGUGGGUUCGAUUUUGAUGGUUUUUUUUUAUUAUCGAUUUUAGAUUUCGAGUUGUAGCUGUUAUAUUACCGAUAUUUCCUGUAGUUGGAGCUGGAGACCAGCUCAAAAUUUUGCCUACGUCAAAAUUUUCUCUGGGGAAGGGAGUAUUGUAACAAUAAAAUUUCAUUCUCCUUAAUAAAGUAAUAAAUUUAAGAAUGCAAGGCGUAGGUUACGCCUUCUACCGCCCUCUGUCGGAAAUCGGCAGGAAGUCAUCGACCGUGAGCUGUCUGAUCCUGGAUCGGCCUUCCUCGCCAUCUAGCGUGGGAUAGCUGCACUCUUGUAUUCCUCUAUGGACUUACGUGGAUCAUAGUUGCCAUUUUGAAAAAUAGAAGUAAAUCGUCAUCGGGCGUUUGCCUUCCUUCCUUUUAUUCGUAAACAGACUUAAUUAUGGGUUUUUUUUUUUAGCUCCGCGUUAAUCGCGAAGAGUUUAGUAUUAUAUUUUAUUGUUGACUUAAUUUCCAUUGAACGUCCGGAGCCGGCUGUUUGCGGUGCGAGCCGAUUUAGGCUUGGCAACACUAGUCCCGUCCAAAAUGGCGAAUGAGAUGGGAUUUCUUUUUGCCGGAGAGAGAGUUGAAGGGAUAUCGUUGGCCCAAGCUAAAAUCGGGCGCAAUCGCCCGUUUGAGUGAGUUUCAAUAGUGAUUCGGUUGUGUAUUUCUUUUUAGUUGGUUAGUUUCUAACGAAGCGUUGCAUAUUUUCCAGCCCCGGAAUCGGACGUGAAUAAAACCAUGUUCUGAUGGUGAUAGGCGACGCCCAGCGUGCCCGGAUGUCGAAAUAGGUGCAAUUUUGCCCUCUGCUGGCCCUUUCUCCAUCAACGGGUUCACGCCGCGUCGCCUAAACCUCGCGCCGGCCGCGAGAGAUCCCCCUGGUGUUCCGGUAACUUGUGGGCAGCAGAUUGCUGCUGUUCUACCUACUCCCGACGUUUCACCCCAAGGCUGCUGACGUGGCAGUUGUGGUGUUUCGAGGUCAGAUCUUUCCACGUUUACUUAUUGACUGAAUGAACCGGCCUUUCGGUUCUGGCGCCCUUCCGUGUAACUACCUUAAUAUAUAUUGACCGCUGUAUCCGUUUCUACCAGUAAUGAUAAUUUAGAGCUCGCUGACCCACGUUUGUUCCCUUAAAAUAUAAACUCAACAUUAUUGUUCUCGUGAGCUAGCCCUCGGCAAACAAUUGUUACCGUGUAUCUAGGAUAACAAAUUAGCAUAAACAAUUUAGAUUUUUUUUCCUGAAUUCAAUAAAUACCUGGUUCCUCUUCAA